AGUGAACGCUGGCGGUAGGCCUAACACAUGCAAGUCGAACGGCAGCACAGUAAGAGCUUGCUCUUACGGGUGGCGAGUGGCGGACGGGUGAGGAAUACAUCGGAAUCUACUUUUUCGUGGGGGAUAACGUAGGGAAACUUUCGCUAAUACCGCAUACGACCUACGGGUGAAAGCAGGGGAUCUUCGGACCUUGCGCGAUUGAAUGAGCCGAUGUCGGGUUAGCUAGUUGGCGGGGUAAAGGCCCACCAAGGCGACGAUCCGUAGCUGGUCUGAGAGGAUGAUCAGCCACACUGGAACUGAGACACGGUCCAGACUCCUACGGGAGGCAGCAGUGGGGAAUAUUGGACAAUGGGCGCAAGCCUGAUCCAGCCAUACCGCGUGGGUGAAGAAGGCCUUCGGGUUGUAAAGCCCUUUUGUUGGGAAAGAAAAGCAGCAGGUUAAUACCCCGCUGUUCUGACGGUACCCAAAGAAUAAGCACCGGCUAACUUCGUG
rnacentral:rRNA from 1 species